ACCCAAUAAUGUUUCAUGGAUUGUGAAGUGUUUGUCUGCAGUGGGCAACACUCACCAAAAUCCCUGCCUUUGGAAUGACCUCUGUCUUUGCAAGUGGGCCACAGGUGAGAAAGAAAAUAUCAAUCUGUGUCUUUCUGGCGUUCACUGGCUCUCAUUCAGCAGC